rnacentral:lncRNA from 1 species
GCUGUGUGCCUGUGUCGUUGUACAGAUCAUGUUGAAGAUGUCCGAUCUCAAUCUGAAUGCAGAGGACGAAGGUGAAGUGGGGCUUGACCUUGUUUAGUUCAAAAAAAAUUCAGAUUUCACUAAUGUAAUACUUUCGUUUUUAUUUAACAAAUAUUAUCUAAUUAUAAAUUAACUAGAAUUAAAAGAUUCGUCUCACGAUUUACAGAUAAACUGUGUAAUUAGUUUUUAUUUUCGUCUAUAUUUAAUACUUCAUACAUAUAUCGUAAGAUUCGAUGUGACGAAAAAUCUUAAAACUUUUUAAAUUUCAGGGUGAACUAAACAAGUCCAGGUAGUACUCGUAUAGGCCGGUGAAAGUUCUGAGAACGCCUCGUUUAACUAGCUCUCGGUACCCUCUAUAUACCAAAUAAUUUGGCCAAAUGAAACAAAUGAGCGUGCGCCAGAUAUAUAGGACCGGGUAGAGUAAUAACUUAAAAAAAAAAGAACGAUAGCAGCCUAGAGUACUGUAGAACAUGCGUAUUCCAUAACUGAGCUUGUAUACCAUUGCUUAUUUGCCUGACUAUAGCAUAUAAUAAACAAAAAAAAUAGGAAAUUGAUAUGUACUGCCUCCAUAUC